GGUCGUCGAUGUUCGCCCUUAAAAAAACAGAAACAACACCUUCGUCUUCCUCCACCAACGGCAGAGUCCCUCCUCCUUCCCACGAUAGUGCGGACAUAAUUCCAAGCAUUAAACCUAAUAAUUUCGAGCCAUUAAAGCUAGAGUAGGAACUGGUGAAUGGAGUUCAUCCGCGGCCCCCUUUUCUCCAGCUUCAAAAGCACGACAUGGUACCAUUCGCCACCGCACCCAGCAGCCUCUUCGACUCUGGUUUUCAUCUGCUCCUCCGUCAGGCCCUCCGGAUUUCUCGAAUCCCUGAAGUAUACCUUUCCAAUAUGCCAGGUUGAUCUCUGGCUCCGGAUUUCGUCUCCUCCUACCUCAGGCCCUCCGGAUUUCUUGGGUUUUCUUCCGGAUUUAUUGGGAUUUAUUUCGGAUUCAUCGAGUCCGCACAGUGCCUUCCUCCAUUGGUUGCUCUACGCUCAAAAAAUCCUUGCGAUUUGGUUGGAAUUUCAUUCAAGGUUGCAGAAUUUAUAUCGAGUAAUCCGCUUUUCUCUAGCUGAUUGCGUUUGCGGACACAUUGGAUUUCAUCAAUCAGUUUACUGAAGCCCCUUGAGGAAGGCAAUGCUAAGGUAAACUAUGUUUUCUACAGAAAAUCUGGAGAAAAUAUCUUGCAAUACUACAAGAUUUAUUGUCUUAUUCUGAAUGCUAACAAGGAGGAUUGAUCAGUCACUUUUUGUAGUUUCAUACCUGAAUUAACUCGACGAGAUCUCAGUUAUUCUCACAUAGGUAGAUAGACGAGAGGAAUUUUGCCUGUGUAAAAUUUAGCAGCUUACUAUUCUAGCUUUUCUCUUCUUAUUUGGAAGGAUUGCAGCAAAAAACGAUGAGAUAACAAAACGUGAUUGAGUCUGUCACGGACGUGGCAUCCCACGCCCGCACAUGUAACUCGAUCCGCUGCCAAGCUGCUCAAGAUGCUACUUGGUCGUUGCAUGGACUAAGCACAUCUGACCAGUAACGUUAUUCUGAACGAAAAACUGAACAUUACCUAUAAAUCUAAGUAGUACAGAUUUGGAAUAAGCAAAGCUAACACUUCUGCUGACCUUUGUCUUCAGGAUAUGAUGGCAGUCAGAUACAUUUGACUUUUUUCUUAUUUGCUACGUGCAAAACAUCCGUGGUUGUGCUCUCAUAUUCAAAAGACCUAAUCUAUAGAUGUAAGCAAUAUGUUUUCUUUUAAUUAUUGUUACAAACUGUUCCUUCUUUGAUUGCUCUAGAAUUGCUGUAGAUCUACACCUUUUAUUUAUGUUUGUCUUUGCAGAAUUUGUAUUUUUGUUACUUAUCUCCCUUAAUUGCCAUAGCCUUUUACACGUCAUUGUCUCUGAAAGUUUAAUCAAUUAACAGGGAAAGAAAGGUGAAAUGGCAUGUUCAAUCCUUGAAUCACUGUUGAACAAUGUGCUUAGAUUUAGAGCUUUCUCUUGAUUUGUCAUGCCUUAUUAUGUCGAACAUUAUAUUUCCUCACGUCAUUUUUGUGCAGAUUGUAAAACAUUGGUCAGUCAUUUCCAAUAGUAUUAUUCGUGAGUUAUUCUCAUUGGAAACUUAACUAGAAAUUGUUAUGCCAGAUUCAGAUAUGGUUUUAUGCAUUUUGACUA